rnacentral:rRNA from 1 species
GACGAACGCUGGCGGCGUGCUUAACACAUGCAAGUCGAACGGAAAGGCCCUGCUUUUGUGGGGUGCUCGAGUGGCGAACGGGUGAGUAACACGUGAGUAACCUGCCCUUGACUUUGGGAUAACUUCAGGAAACUGGGGCUAAUACCGGAUAGGAGCUCCUGCUGCAUGGUGGGGGUUGGAAAGUUUCGGCGGUUGGGGAUGGACUCGCGGCUUAUCAGCUUGUUGGGGGGGUAGUGGUUUACCAAGGCUUUGACGGGUAGCCGGCCUGGGAGGGUGACCGGCCACAUUGGGACUGAGAUACGGCCCAGACUGCUACGGGAGGCAGCAGUGGGGAAUAUUGCGCAGUGGGCGGGAGCCUGAUGCAGCAACGCCGCGUGCGGGAUGACCGCCUUCGAGUUGUAAACCGCUUUCGCCGGUGACGAAGCGUGAGUGACGGUAAUGGGUCAGGAAGCACCGGCUAACUACGUG